rnacentral:rRNA from 1 species
AUUGAACGCUGGCGGCAGGCCUAACACAUGCAAGUCGAACGAGUGGCGGACGGGUGAGUACUGUCUGGGAAACUGCCUGAUGGAGGGGGAUAACUACUGGAAACGGUAGCUAAUACCGCAUACCAUCAGAUGUGCCCAGAUGGGAUUAGCUUGUUGGUGGGGUAACGGCUCACCAAGGCGACGAUCCCUAGCUGUUCUGAGAGGAUGACCAGCCCAACUGGGACUGGGACACGGUCCAGAUUUCCACGGUGGGUAGCAGUGGGGAAUAUUGCACCAUGGGCGGAAGCCUGAUGCAGCCAUGCCGCGUGUAUGAAGAAGGCCUUCGGGUUGUAAAGUACUUUCAGCGGGGAGGCGUUACCCGCAGAAGAAGCACCGGCUAACUCCGUGCCAGCAGCCACGGUAAUUC